UACGGGGGAUCCGAGCGUUAUCCGGAUUUAUUGGGUUUAAAGGGUGCGUAGGCGGUUUGAUAAGUUAGAGGUGAAAUGUCGGGGCUCAACCCCGAAACGGCCUCUAAUACUGUUGGACUAGAGAAUAGUUGCGGUAGGCGGAAUGUAUGGUGUAGCGGUGAAAUGCUUAGAGAUCAUACAGAACACCGAUUGCGAAGGCAGCUUACCAAACUAUAUCUGACGUUGAGGCACGAAAGCGUGGGUAGCAAACAGG
rnacentral:rRNA from 1 species